UCAUCAAUCGCGUGUACGUAAACAAAUCUCAACUCCUGUCAGUCGGCAAAUUUCAUUCCUACUUUUCCGUUUAUUUAAAACACUAUAUUCUAAUGUUUUACUCAAGUUGAUAUUGUCUAAAGUCUCAGAUCAGCAAGAAUUGAUAUAAUUGCAGAUGGUGGCGGUGAAGAAUUUUAUUAUUGAUGAGAUAACGGUACGGUGAACCUAACCUAACCAAGCAGGAGAAGCUUUUGCCAAUGAUAAAGAACAAAUCUUUGAAGUUUCCAGCUAUUAAUUCUCAUCAGUUCAAAACUGAACUAAAAAUGAGAUGAUCCAAAACUGACUUCUGAAACCUUUUAACGGAAACAGUAAUUCCUUUUGAUUACU
rnacentral:lncRNA from 1 species